rnacentral:rRNA from 1 species
UACGUAGGGUGCAAGCGUUAAUCGGAAUUACUGGGCGUAAAGCGUGCGCAGGCGGUUAUGCAAGACAGAUGUGAAAUCCCCGGGCUUAACCUGGGAACCGCAUUUGUGACUGCAUAGCUGGAGUACGGUAGAGGGGGAUGGAAUUCCGCGUGUAGCAGUGAAAUGCGUAGAUAUGCGGAGGAACACCGAUGGCGAAGGCAGUCCCCUGGGCCUGUACUGACGCUCAUGCACGAAAGCGUGGGGAGCAAACAGG